rnacentral:rRNA from 1 species
AGUUUGAUCAUGGCUCAGAUUGAACGCUGGCGGAAUGUUUACACAUGCAAGUCGAACGGUAGAGGGGGCAACCCCUUGAGAGUGGCGAACGGGUGAGUAAUAUAUCGGAACGUGCCCAGUCGUGGGGGAUAACGUAGCGAAAGUUACGCUAAUACCGCAUACGAUCUACGGAUGAAAGCGGGGGGACUCGCAAGAGCCUCGCGCGAUUGGAGCGGCCGAUAUCAGAUUAGGUAGUUGGUGGGGUAAAGGCUCACCAAGCCAACGAUCUGUAGCUGGUCUGAGAGGACGACCAGCCACACUGGAACUGAGACACGGUCCAGACUCCUACGGGAGGCAGCAGUGGGGAAUUUUGGACAAUGGACGCAAGUCUGAUCCAGCCAUUCCGCGUGCAGGAUGAAGGCCCUCGGGUUGUAAACUGCUUUUGUACGGAACGAAAAGGUUUCUAUUAAUACUAGGAGCUCAUGACGGUACCGUAAGAAUAAGCACCGGCUAACUACGUG